AAUUAGCUGGGGGGGCGGGGCCUGACCGCCAUGCACACAAGUCGCAUGGAAGAACAGCUCCCAGCAUUUUCAAGCCUUUUGGCCCACAAAGGCGGUCUGAUCCUAUGCCAGGCACCAAGAAGCUACCACCACAUGCACUAAGAGGUACUGGUCCUAAAGAUUGUCCCAAAACCGAAGUCUUGGCCCCCUGAGGGGAGAAAUUUAAUCUUGGUGCCUAAGGCCUAAUCCAGCAGUGAGUGGGGUGGACGGCCGCCACCCUGCUAUCCUGCAUACUGGAAAAAAGCUAGACCCUCGACUCCGCUAGGCGAUGGCCCUGCCUCCCCCCCUUUGGACCGGUGGGGGUCAUCCCGGUCCACCCUGAAGCCCUACUUCCAGCUUACUAACAAUGCCAGCUACUUGCAUUGGAGGACCUGCUUACCGAACAAGAUGGCGACGGAGUCCAUUCCUCCCUCCACUGAGAUGGUGGUCCCUCUCGGGGCUCUUGGCGCCCCAUGCGGGCAGGGCAGGGCAACACUGUCUGUGUCACGCUUGGGUGCUAACAAUCGACACCGAGGGAGACUGCCGGAAGCACCGACCUCUCCCUCUCCACACGCCACCUCCUGGCUUUGCAGCAUCAGCUCCCGCAACAUGGAGAAAUCUCAAGUCACUCCACAACCUCAAGCGACACACAGCACCUGGCUCUGAGCAGUGACUGGGCUAACAAGGCUGAUUGAUGGCUGCCCGCCAACAGAUUCAUGUCUGAAAAUGGCGGUGGGAGAUGGGGAUCUCUACGUGGGGACUGGGGUGACUCUCCAUGCAGCCUGUACAGUGGAUACCCACGCUUGUUUAGCUGGCUGUGUGAUGCCGAGGGCUCAGGGAUCUUAAUCCGAUAGGACAUACAUAAUUGCAUAUCAGCUUCUCUCCUAUUGAUUUAAUUCUAAUGCCAUACUGUUUAACAUCUCAAGCACAACAAGUUUUGAUAUAUGCAUAUCUAGUCUAGCGUGUUACAUUAUAAAAUGCU